UUAAAAUGUAAAUUAAUUUAAUCAAGGUAGUAUUAGUUAUGAUCUUGAAACUUAAAGAAUUUGGCGGUAUUUUAGUCUAUUUAGAGGAAUCUGUCUCGUAAUCGAUAAUCCACGUUGAACCUUACCAAGUUUUAUGUAUGUAUACCGUCGUUAUAAUGAAAAUCUUUAUAGAGUUAUUAAUUUUCUUAAUUAUUUUGUUUGUAAAUAUUUCAGAUCAAGGUGCAGCUUAUAAGUUGGUGAAGAUGGAUUACAUUUAUAUAUAAUAUUGAAUAUAAUAUUGUAAAAUAUUUAUGAAAUUGGAUUUAGUUGUAAUUUUUUAUAUAUUGUAAUAAUGAAAUUAGCUCUAUAAUAUGU
rnacentral:rRNA from 1 species